GCUCCUACGGGAGGCAGCAGUGGGGAAUAUUGCACAAUGGGGGAAACCCUGAUGCAGCGACGCCGCGUGAGUGAAGAAGUAUUUCGGUAUGUAAAGCUCUAUCAGCAGGGAAGAUGAUGACGGUACCUGACUAAGAAGCCACGGCUAACUACGAGCCAGCAGCCGCGGCAAUACGUAGGGGGCAAGCGUUAUCCGGAUUUACUGGGUGUAAAGGGAGCGUAGGUGGCAGGGCAAGUGAGAUGGGAAAACCCGGGG
rnacentral:rRNA from 1 species